UACAGAGGUCUCAAGCGUUGUUCGGAAUUAUUGGGCGUAAAGGGCGCGUAGGCGGCCUGGCAAGUGGAAGGUGAAAUCCCUCGGCUUAACCGAGGAACUGCCCUCCAAACUGCUUGGCUUGAGUCCGGGAGAGGUGAGUGGAAUUCCCAGUGUAGCGGUGAAAUGCGUAGAUAUUGGGAAGAACACCAGUGGCGAAGGCGGCUAUCUGGACGGUUACUGACGCUAAGACGCGAAAGCGUGGGGAGCAAACAGG
rnacentral:rRNA from 1 species